rnacentral:tRNA from 1 species
UCGCCGUUUCGUUAACGGAGCUUCAGGAGAUAUCUGCUCUUCAGUCGGAGGAGCUUAGCCGGUAUUUGUUCCAUGCAGGUAUUGGCGGU